CUUUUGGCAGUUCAAUUUCCAAUAGCACAAGUAUCAGUUUUGGUAAAGCCAGAGUACAUAUUUCUUGUAUUUCCUUCUAGGAUAAGGUAAUAAUAAUCCACGCGCUCAGGAAACAGGUAAUUCAGUAAGCUGUUAUUGAUACGAACGGAGACGAUACGCGGAUGUGCAAAGCUUUUGGAGGCUUGCGGCAUUCGAAAUUAAUUAAUGUCUGCUGACAGAAUCACCGGUUUCUAGAGUUGAAACUCUUAUAAAACCUGCAUAACGUGAAUGUAGUAUUACCAAUAUCAUUAAGUUUCCAGCCAAAAAACUUGUACACUUUACAUCAAUCCUUAAGCACUCUCUCCCAUCUUGACCUUUGCAAAAUGCUUGCAAAGAGCAUAGUAUUGAUUAGCGUAUGUAUUGCGGUUGCCCUCGCCAUCCGCUCGGAUCCCAAGCCGGGCGAUGCCGAAAGCACCAAAGUUGCCAACGAUGCCCUCUUUGACCCAUCAUGUAAUCCUCCUUCGUGCUUUCCUGAAUAUUCCCACUGCGGUGCCAGGAUGGCCAAGGGAAAAGUCAUUGUUAAGAGUUACCAAAGAGAACUUCAGCGUGAAGGAACCCUUUAUAUUCUGAAGGUCGACCUGGAAAUGCCGCCCUCGGGUUCCCACAAAACCGAAUUAAUCCGUGGCAAAACCAUGGAAGUGUUCAAGCCCAAGGGAAGAGCAUCACCCACUGUGAAAAAGAAUCCUUGCGACAAUUAAUCAUCACAAAGUUUACUGUAGGAUAAGGAAUAAAUAUAUAGUAAAAUUUUCUGAUUUCUGGUACAACUACUUAUGGCCAAUUUGUCUUACAACUGUAUGUGCAACGUAUUACAGUGCGUGCCGUUUUUAAUAAUCCACUCCAGCCUUUAAAGUACGAGUGCGUAGGGGGUGGAGGUUUGAUAGUGCAUGGUAAUAAAAAUGCGGGGUGUGGUAUUAGGAAAAGCAAAUUUAUAUUGCAAAUG